AGGGCAAGUCUGGUGCCAGCAGCCGCGGUAAUUCCAGCUCCAAUAGCGUAUAUUAAAGUUGUUGCAGUUAAAAAGCUCGUAGUUGAAUUUCGGGGUCAGCAGGUUGGUCGUGCCAAUGGUAUGCACUGGCCUUGCUGAUUCCUCCCUCUUGAUGAGCCGUAAUGCCAUUAAUUUGGUGUUGUGGGGAAUCAGGACUGUUACUUUGAAAAAAUUAGAGUGUUUAAAGCAGGCAAGCGCUUGAAUACAUUAGCAUGGAAUAAUGAAAUAGGACGUUCGAUCCUAUUUUGUUGGUUUCUAGGAUUGACGUAAUGAUUAAUAGGGAUAGUUGGGGGCAUUAGUAUUCAAUUGUCAGAGGUGAAAUUCUUGGAUUUAUUGAAGACUAACUACCGCGAAAGCAUUUGCCAAGGAUGUUUUCAUUAAUCAAGAACGAAAGUUAGGGGAUCGAAGACGAUCAGAUACCGUCGUAGUCUUAACCAUAAACUAUGCCGACUAGGGAUCGGAUGAUGUUAAUUUUUUAAUGACUCAUUCGGCGCCUUACGGGAA
rnacentral:rRNA from 1 species